GACUCUUAGCGGUGGAUCACUUGGGACUUGCAUCGAUGAAGAACGCAGCUAGCUGCGAGAAUUAAUGUGAAUUGUAAGACACAUUGAUCAUCUACACUUCAAACGCACUUGCGGGCCAGGGUUCCUAACCGGGCUAUGCCUGUGUGAGCAUCA
ensembl:rRNA 5_8S_rRNA 5.8S ribosomal RNA